rnacentral:rRNA from 1 species
GUACCCGCUGAACUUAAGCAUAUCAAUAAGCGGAGGAAAAGAAACCAACAGGGAUUGCCUCAGUAACGGCGAGUGAAGCGGCAACAGCUCAAAUUUUAAAGCUGGCGUCUUCGGCGCACGCGUUGUAAUUUGGAGAGGCAUCUUCGGUUCGGGCGCCAGCCUAUGUUCCUUGGAACAGGACGUCACAGAGGGUGAGAAUCCCGUGCCUGGCUGGCUGUCCCGACCCAUGUGAAGCGCCUUCGACGAGUCGAGUUGUUUGGGAAUGCAGCUCAAAAUGGGUGGUAAAUUUCAUCUAAAGCUAAAUAUUGGCGGGAGACCGAUAGCGCACAAGUAGAGUGAUCGAAAGAUGAAAAGCACUUUGAAAAUAGAGUUAAAAAGUACGUGAAAUUGUUGAAAGGGAAGCGCUUGAGACCAGACUCGGCUGGGGAUGAUCAGCGGCCCUUCUGGGCCGUGCACUUGUCCCCGGUCGGGCCAGCAUCGGUUGAGGCGGCGGGAUAAAGGCCCGGGGAAUGUGGCUCCUCUCGGGGAGUGUUAUAGCCCCAGGCGCAAUGCCGCCAGCCUCGACCGAGGGCCGCGCACUUUGUGCUAGGACGCUGGCGUAAUGGUCUUCAGCGACCCGUCUUGAAACACGGACCACGGAGUCUAACAUCUAUGCGAGUGUUUGGGUGUCAAACCCUUGCGCGGAAUGAAAGUGAACGGAGGUGGGAACCCCUCGCGGGGCGCACCAUCGACCGGUCCUGAUGUCUUCGGAUGGAUCUGAGUAGGAGCAUAGCUGUUGGGACCCGAAAGAUGGUGAACUAUGCCUGAAUAGGGUGAAGCCAGAGGAAACUCUGGUGGAGGCUCGCAGCGGUUCUGACGUGCAAAUCGAUCGU